GACAGAGCGAGACUCCAUCUCAAAAAAAAAAAAAAAAAAAGAAAAUAGAGAACUUGGGCCAGGUCCCCUCCCAGCUGCACCAUGAAGGGGACUGGAUUCGCCCCCAAGACUGCCUUGUCCAAUCCCUUCAUGGUGCAGCUGGGAGGGAAUUUUGCCCAAGGUCAUACAGCAGUGAGGGGCAGUGCUGGAACAGGAAUUUGUACCACCUGACUCUUUUAAAGAGACAAAGUCUCAUUUUGUCAUCCAGGCUGGAGUAUAGUCACAUUCAUGGCUCACUGCAGCCUUGAACUCCCGAGCUCAAGCGAUCCUCCUGCCUCAGCCUCCCAAAUAGCUCAGACUACAGGCGCGUGCCACCACACCUGGCUAAUUUAAUUUAAAAUUUUUUUUUGUAGAGAUGGGGGCUCGCCAUGUUGCCCAGGCUGGUCUCAAACUCCUGGGCUCAAGCAAUCCUCCUGCCUCGGCCUCCCAAAGUGCUGGAAUUACAGGAGUGAGCCACCAUACCCCAGCCCCUCUUGAUUCUUUAUCAGUGCCCUAUCCUGUACCUCUCAUGGCCUCUUGAGUAAGUACUGACCCAAGAAAAGAAGAUGCAGCUGCUUCUCUCCAGAAGCUCCACUAGUGAGACUACUCCCUGGGGUGGUGUUGACAAGGUCUCAUUAGAGAGCUGGGGAGUCACAUGGGGAGUCUGUUGGGUACACCUCUUGGGCCGAGUCUCUUGCAAGGUGUUGGCUCUACGCAGGCAGAGUCCCCUCUGCCUGGUUUUCAGUGGCCUGGUGUUUAAGGGCCUAGGCUCUGGAAUGACAUGGGCUGGAUCUGAAUCCCCAUGCUGAGGUGUGAGGUCUAUCUAGACACAUUGCUUAACAUCUUUGAGCCCCAGUUCUCUUAUUUACAGUGAUACUUAGGUCAAGACGUUAAUUUGAUAGUCUUGGUGUCAUGCCUGGCAUGAAGUAGCUGCUCAAUAAAUAAUCACUGUUAGUAUGGCACUAUGAUAACUGCAGACCACACAGGCCUCGAGCAGUGAGCAGCAGCCCAAUAUUUACUAUUGCUCUGGUAGUCUAUACAGCCAUAGAGUCCACGAAUUCUAAAGAGGAGCUCUGGAAAGUGUGAAAGCCUCUGGACUCCAAUGAAGCUAUUUGCUGGGCUCCCCAGGCAAAAAGAAGGCAUAAUAAUUGUCAAUAUCAUCAUUCUCACCAUUAGAAGGUGCCACCUCCCAGACUCUACAACUCGUAUAUCCAGCUGGGAGAGCUUCUAUUUCUCUGCAGGCAAUCAAUUAAUAGAAACCUCCUUUCUGUAAUGAACAUGAAAGCAUUUGACAGUUUUAAAGGAUUUUACCAAUUAAACAAAAGUCAUUCCUUUUCCUCCUUCCUGAACCCAAUACCCGCUCCCAACAUACACACCUUCUACUCCUGGUACAUGGAAGAAGAAAGGGUAACUCGUCUACUCUAGACUCAUCUUAAAUUGACUACAGAUGGUUUGGCUAAUUCAGUUCAAAUUAAAUUCUUUUCUUGCCUAUCCUGUCCUCUUCGCAAAUGGGAAUUGGCCCUUGGAGUUAAAUUUCUUUCUAAAGUUCCUACUGUAUGACUGGGGUAAUUUCUCAACAAUGGCUGGUGAUGUUAGAUCUGUGGUUGCUCAAAAAGAUGGAGGGGCUGGCUGCAGCGGCUCACGCCUGUUAUCCCAGCACUCUGGGAAGUCGAGGUGGGUGGAUCAUUUGAUCACCGUUCUGGGAUUACAGGCAAUGAGCCACCACACCCAGCCUGAACAAGUCACUUUUGAUGCUACCAUUUCCAUGUUUACAAAGUGAAAAGUAAAUCAGUCAGAGUAUAUUAGUUGCAAACAACAGAAACAACUCUAGCUAGCCUGAGAGAAAAAAAAGGUAGAGGGUUAGUCUCCUGGAGAGAUUUGGGGACCUCAAAGGAAAGAUUAUACAAUGUGCCUCCAAAAAAAAAAAAAAAGGGUCACCACAAGGGCAAAUGCGUGAUUUAAUGGGGUUGGGACUUUCAGCCCCAUCCCCCAACCUCUGGGGAGGAGAGAGGGACUGAAGGUCAAGUUGAUCACCAAUGGCCAAUGGUUUAAUCAAUCAUGCCUACAUAAUGAAGCCUCCAUAAAAACCCAAGAGGACAGGCUUCAGAGAGCUUCCUGAUAGCCAGACAUGCUGGGGUUCCUAGAAGGUGGCAGGCCCAGGGAGGACGCAGAAGCUCUGCACCCCUUCCCAUACCUCACCCUAUGCAUCUCUUCAUCUGCAGCCUUUGUAAUAGCCUUUAUAAUAAACUGGUGUGUUUCCCUGAAUUCUUUUUGGUUUUUUAAUUUUUGAGACACAGCCUGGAAUGCAGUGGUGUGAUCAUGAAUCACUGCAGCCUCGACCUCCUGGGCUCAAGCGAUCCUCCUGCCUCAGCCUCUUGAGUAGCUGGGACUAGAGGCUUGUGCCACCAUGCCUGGCUAAUUUUAUUAUUUAUAGAGAUGGGGUCUCACUCUGUUGACCAAGCUGGUCUUGAACUCCUGGACUUAAACGAUCCUCCCACCUUGGCUUCCCAAAGUGCUGGGAUUACAGGUGUGAGCUACUGCACCUGGCCUUGCUUCCCUGUGUUCUGUGAGCCUCUCCAACAAAUUAAUUGAGCCCAAAGAGGGUUGUGGAAACCCCAACUUAAAGCCAGUUGUCAAAAGUUCUAGAGGCUCCACUUUUGACUGGUGUCUGAAGUGAGGGCAGUCUUGGGGACUGAGCCCUCAGACUGUGGGAUCUGAUGCCAUCUCCAAGUAGAUAGUGUUGGAAUUGAAUUGGAGGACACCUAGCUGGUGUCCACUGCAGAACUGAUUGUUUGCCUGCUGGUGGGGGGAAAUCCCCUCUCAUUUUGGGGUCACACAAGUCUGUUGUGUGUUGAUGACUGUUGUGGUGGUGUGAAAGCAGAGGGAAACAUGGUUUGAGAAUUUUUUCCUGAACAAUGGGACUGUCAGUCAAGGUGGACCACCCUUUCUUGGCCCCACAUCAGGUGAAUCAGCCUCUCCUGGGAAUUACUUUGAAUGGUCCAGUGCAAGGACUGAAGAGGUUGGAGCUGACAUUCCUGUGGCUUUGCUUGGAAGACAUUGUCCGCUUGGCUCCUCUAGCACCCCUCAGGGGCUAUUUUUUUUUUUUUGGAGGCACGUUGUAUAAUCUUUCCUUUGAGGUCCCCAAGUCUCCCCAGGAGACUAACCCUCUACCUUUUUUUCUCUCAAGCUAGCUAGAGUUCUUUCUGUUGUUUGCACCUAAAA
rnacentral:lncRNA from 1 species